UGUAGAGAAACAAAGGACAGAUAUAAAUCACUAAACAAUUCUUCUCAAAUGAAUACUAUUAACCAAAUGAGUGCCCUCAGGGGGUUCAAUGCUGGGCAAGUCCCAACAAUGCUUAUCAGGGGGCAGGGCAGAGUGUAAGCAGGUGGAAAGAGCUCCAGCUAAGAAUGCUACAGAUUGACCAAUCAAUGUGGGGAUUAUGGAGCUUUAACCAGGGGUAACCAAAAAUCACAGGGCUCUGAGGGGCUGAGAUUAGCUUGAAGGCUACUUCCUCACUAUGGUUACCAGAAAAAAAAUCAACUAAAAGGGGGCUCUGAUGUGGGUGACGUGAGCCAAAAUUUGACCAUCUAGGGCCCUAGCAGUACUAGUCUCCAGAAGCGGUUCUACAGGGAAACCAGAUAGGCUAAUUCCAGGUUGAUGACAUUUCCCUUAGCCCCUGAAUCAACCAGUGCAAGGAGUUGAAGGGAAAGCUGAGGGGAGCACAAGGUAGCAGGAAGUUGGCGAAGUGAGUGCUCAUGUGGGUACCUGAUACGGGCUCCUCAAUAUACCCACACCUAUUGAAGAGCUGGCCCUUUUGGACGGGUGGGACACAAGACGUCGAAGUGACCUCCCUCUCCGAAGUAGAUAUAUGUGCCAAAUAUACGCCGGCGCACACGUUCCUCAGGGGAGAGGCAGUCUCGGCCCAGCUGCGUGGGCUCAGGAUCAGAGGUGAACGCCGGUCGGGAGGCCGGAAAUGGAGCUGCUGAUCCCGGAGGAAUAGGCCGUCAAAAUGUGUCAUCUCUCCUGCUCUGAUUUAUGAGGCCAGAGGAGGAGAUGCGAGUCACGAUGGCAGAGGCUGCUGGAGAGUUUCUGAU